rnacentral:rRNA from 1 species
UACGUAGGGGGCAAGCGUUGUCCGGAUUUAUUGGGCGUAAAGAGCGUGUAGGCGGCCAGGUAGGUCAGCUGUGAAAACUCGAGGCUCAACCUCGAGACGCCGGUUGAAACCAUCUGGCUAGAGUCCGGAAGAGGAGAGUGGAAUUCCCGGUGUAGCGGUGAAAUGCGCAGAUAUCGGGAAGAACACCCGUGGCGAAGGCGGCUCUCUGGGACGGUACUGACGCUGAGACGCGAAAGCGUGGGGAGCGAACAGG